UACAGAGGUCUCAAGCGUUGUUCGGAUUCAUUGGGCGUAAAGGGUGCGUAGGUGGCGCUGUAAGUCGGGUGUGAAAUUUCGGAGCUUAACUCCGAAACUGCAUUCGAUACUGCGGUGCUUGAGGACUGGAGAGGAGACUGGAAUUCAUGGUGUAGCAGUGAAAUGCGUAGAGAUCAUGAGGAAGACCAGUGGCGAAAGGCGGGUCUCUGGACAGUUCCUGACACUGAGACACGAAGGCCAGGGGGAGCAAACGGGG
rnacentral:rRNA from 1 species